rnacentral:lncRNA from 10 species
CUUAAAAAAGCAUAUUUACUCUAUAAGCUGGAGUAUGAGUAGUAGUUAGUAAUAUGCUAAGCCUCUAGGCAUAAGAGAAGCAGGGUGCUUUCCAGAAAUUUAUCAAUCUCCUCCUGCUUGCAUCUCAGCAUGCAAGAGAGCUUUAGGGGAUUUUAUGCCUAGAGAGGUUGUCUGGGAUCAGAUAGGCCAUGAAAAAAGAAAAGAUUAGAUAUUAUCUAAACUAGAAUCUUUAGAAAGAACUCAUAUAGGGCAAGAUAUUGAUGCUUUAGGCUUAUUUUUUUGGCUGCACUCUAGAGAAUGGAUGGGAAAGUAUAAAAGAAUGGGGAUAAUAUCUAGUUUGGUAGACCUUUUGCAGUAAUAUAGGUAAGACCUGAUGUCUUGAACUAAUCACCGUUGUGUAUAUCAAAGAAGAACAAAGAAAAUGAAUUAUGGAGACAUGUAAGCAGUGGUAGAAUUGGUAAAACUGGUGAUUGAUGGAAUGUUAGAAUUGAGGGGGAAGGAAGAGACAUAGACUCUGAAUUUCUGGGUUUUAGAUUAAAUAGAUGGUGCUGCUACUCCCUAAUAUAGGAGAAACCAUCAAAAGAAUGGGUGGGCAGGAGAAGAGAAGGAAAGCAGAUGCUUUUGAAGUGAUAGACAAUCCAGAUCUGGGGAUUUUGAGUCUAAGAUGCAUUGAAACUUCUCAACAUUUUUUUUUAGAUAGUUUGAGUAUUGGGAAUUAGAGGUGAGACGGAGAAGAAAAAAAAUGGAGAUACAGUAUGAAAAUUCAGUUUACAUGUCAGGAAAGUAAAGGGAUUAAACUGUUUUGUAAAAGGUAGAGUUGCUAACAGUGACAAAGGCUUUCAUGAGAGUUAAGAUCCUAGAAGAGGGAGAUGGAGAUAUUUAAAGUUAAGUGUAGAUAAAAAUGCAUUGGAAAUACAUAAAUUUCAACAUUUAAAGGUUGAUUACUAUGAAUCUAUUGUGGUAUUGCAAGCUUCUCUGUAUGCUUUCCUCCAUCUGGUCUCAGAAGUCUUCAUGAUAAAAGAGAAAACCAAAACCUAAAUGAGAGUUGUGUGUGAGUAUGUAUGUGGGUGUGGGCUGGUGUGCUUGUCUAGAAUUUUAUGACAGAAACGGUAAGUUAAAAAAUUGAGAUUGUCAAGAGUCAUGGAAAAGUUGAACCAUUAUAUGAUAAUUCGUGCCAUUACACAGAGUUCCUGGUUUCAAACAUCAGAAUGGAAUUAGGCAUUAUAUUUAUUAAAUGAUAUGUCAUACCUCACAGACUCUCAAAAAGUACCAGAAGUAACUCAUGAGUAAGUUACUCAACCAGGAAAAGCACAUAGAACAGCAUAGAGAUUGCCUUAAGGAAGAAGCUACUGCUGCUGCCAUUCUGCAUUGGGAAGCUCAUCAAACACAUCAUGGGUAUUAUAGCGCAGGAAAACAGCCUGCCUGCUGCAUGGCACGAGUGACUACGCCACCAUCUUGAGGAAAACCAUCACAAUGCCCAAUGUUUGACUCCUGCGUAUCACGGUGUUCUGAAGCAAGGUCUUUUUCCCCGGAAGUAACAAGUCACAGCAUGGAAGUCUGAGAUGUAACUAGCUGCACUUGUCUUUACCCUAAAUGCUUGCUAUCUAAAGGACAUUCUCUAGAGGAGAUUGCGAAAUCCACCGUAUCACAACCACCCAAGAUAUCAUUUCUGUUCAUAAGUCCCUAUUAAAUAUGUAUUUCUGAGAAACUGGCUUUUUUUCAGCAUCUUUCUUCAGCAUCUCAGCUCCCUCAGCCUUUGGGGGUAGAUUUGAAUAUACCCAUCAUUUUUAUGGUCUUAGCAUGGUCUCAAUGUACUUCAACUGGCCUGUUAUAAAU